UACGAAGGGGGCUAGCGUUGUUCGGAUUUACUGGGCGUAAAGCGCACGUAGGCGGAUUGUUAAGUCAGGGGUGAAAUCCUGGAGCUCAACUCCAGAACUGCCUUUGAUACUGAGAGCUUGAGUCCGGGAGAGGUGAGUGGAACUGCGAGUGUAGAGGUGAAAUUCGUAGAUAUUCGCAAGAACACCAGUGGCGAAGGCGGCUCACUGGCCCGGUACUGACGCUGAGGUGCGAAAGCGUGGGGAGCAAACAGG
rnacentral:rRNA from 1 species